UGGUAAUACCGGAUGCUCCGCUCCAUCGCAUGGUGGGGUGGGAAAUGCUUUUGCGGCAUGGGAUGGGGUCGCGUCCUAUCAGCUUGUUGGCGGGGUGAUGGCCCACCAAGGCGUUGACGGGUAGCCGGCCUGAGAGGGUGACCGGCCACAUUGGGACUGAGAUACGGCCCAGACUCCUACGGGAGGCAGCAGUGGGGAAUAUUGCACAAUGGGCGCAAGCCUGAUGCAGCGACGCCGCGUGCGGGAUGGAGGCCUUCGGGUUGUAAACCGCUUUUGUUCAAGGGCAAGGCACGGUUUCGGCCGUGUUGAGUGGAUUGUUCGAAUAAGCACCGGCUAACUACGUGCCAGCAGCCGCGGUAAUACGUAGGGUGCGAGCGUUAUCCGGAUUUAUUGGGCGUAAAGGGCUCGUAGGCGGUUCGUCGCGUCCGGUGUGAAAGUCCAUCGCCUAACGGUGGAUCUGCGCCGGGUACGGGCGGGCUGGAGUGCGGUAGGGGAGACUGGAAUUCCCGGUGUAACGGUGGAAUGUGUAGAUAUC
rnacentral:rRNA from 1 species